UGAGUAAACUCAUGCUGUUCCUUUUCAGAUUCAGGUUACUACACAGUCCAUCCCCGCUCUGCCUCAAUAUGUCUCUUCCUAAUAAGAUGUCAGCAUCCUUUUCUGAUCACUGUCUUUAACAAGCAGGCAAAUCUCCUUUCCCACAUUUUAAUUCAAGUGCUUUUCCUAUGCUGCCCUUAAGCCGUGGGGGUGCCUGUCCACCUAUUCAGUGUGCUUCACAGAUUUAAACCCUCCUUUACUACAUGGCAGGUAGAUGUGCCCAGUACUGCUCUGCUUCUGUUCUGUCAUUUGGCACACAGCUUGGCAGGGUCCUGCUCCACCACAGCAGCUCCUAGUUGCUGUGAUAAUAUUAACAACAGUAAGGACUGAAUCAGCAAAAGGUAUUUCAUAGGAAUAGACUUGUGUUCUUUCUGACUGGUCGAUAUACAAAGACAGCUUCAUCUCAAAAAUCACACACAAGAAAAGAAACAAGUGACUUUCAAAUCUUCUGUAGGUGCCCUCUGUAUUUUUCACAUCUGAACUUCAGUUAAAAGUCGUAAAGAAUGAGCAAGCUUUCUAACUCUGCCUGAGUUAGCAAACAGCACUCCCUCCAUUUAUAGACAGUGAGUCUCUACCCUUCAAUAAAGGAUAGAGACCACUGUAAAUGUACAUCCAAAGAUACUUAACCAGCGCUUCGUCCUACCAGCAGCACAAUCCUCAAGCUAUUUACCUUCCCUUUCAAGGAUUUGUCAUAUCUGUAUUGAUACAUCACUUCUGAUCUUAUCUGCUAGCAACUUACCUUGCUUUUGCUACCUAUCACAGACAUUUUAAAGAUGUUUUUUUUAAAGAUUUUCAAAAUAAUAUUUCCUAAAUAAUACAUCUGAAUUCCUAUGGUCUCCUAAAUCCAUUGUUAAGCAUUUGUAAAUCUUAAUGACAACAAAAUCUUGCAUUACCAUAUAUUCAGUGAAAUGACUAAAUUUCUUUACUGAAAUGACAGCUAAGGUAGGCAACUAAAAUGAGAACUGAGCAGCUAAUGGAGUAACACUUCAUUUAGGAAUGUGAGGAAGUAUAAUAUGCCAAGCACAUCAUAAAUUAAGUCUCAUAGCAUUGCAGAAUUAUGGCUGCAAAGUCACAGUGUGUAUGUAGAUGGGAGUCAGCAAAUACUUGUAGAUGUGAUGGAAGCUCAGAAUUUCUCUUUAAUAUUGUAAUGUGUUCACUGGUAUUUUAUUUACAGAAGCAAUUGCUUCUGGCUAUAUAUAGUUACUGAAAUAGUUAUUUUGCAAAAAUAGCAACCAAGUUUUAUGUGUCAACAUUAUCCAUUCACUGGAAUUUUUUGAACUUCUUGUCAGAGAAUGACCGGUCUGCUAUGGUGAAGGAUAAAAAAAAAAGACAUGAAAUCAAUGAAACU
rnacentral:lncRNA from 1 species